rnacentral:rRNA from 1 species
UCAUCGUAGGGUUAGUCGGGACCUAAGUCGAGUCCGAAAGGGGUAGACGAUGGCAAAUUGGUUAAUAUUCCAAUACCGACAUACAAUCGUUUGAGUGAUGGGGGGACGCAUAGAGUUAAAGGGGGUCACUGAUGGAAUAGUGGCUCGAAGGACGUAGGUUGAGAAGUAGGCAAAUCCGCUUCUCAUGCAACCGAGAUCUUACAGGCAGUUCAAUUACUUCGGUAAGCGAACUGAACCCUUGAUACUGUCGUGCCGAGAAAAGCCUCUAAACGAGAUUGUAUGUUGCCCGUACCGUAAACCGACACAGGUGGGUGAGAUGAGUAUUCUAAGGCGCGUGGAUGAACCCUGGUUAAGGAACUCUGCAAACUAGCACCGUAUCUUCGGUAUAAGGUGUGCCUUACGUGUUUAGGGAUUUACUCCCAAAAGCAUUUAUAGGUCGCAGCAAAGAGUCCCUCCCGA